rnacentral:rRNA from 1 species
UACGAAGGGGGCUAGCGUUGCUCGGAUUGACUGGGCGUAAAGGGCGCGUAGGCGGUUCGUACAGUCAGACGUGAAAUUCCUGGGCUCAACCUGGGGGCUGCGUUUGAUACGUGCGGACUUGAGUGCGGAAGAGGGUCGUGGAAUUCCCAGUGUAGAGGUGAAAUUCGUAGAUAUUGGGAAGAACACCAGUGGCGAAGGCGGCUCACUGGCCCGGUACUGACGCUGAGGUGCGAAAGCGUGGGGAGCGAACAGG